rnacentral:rRNA from 1 species
AGUGAAGAGGGAAAAGCUCAAAUUUAAAAUCUGACAGUGUUUGGCUGUCCGAAUUGUAGCCUAGAGAAGUGUUACCUGCGCUGGACUGUGUAUAAGUCUCCUGGGAUGGAGCGUCAGAGAGGGUGAGAAUCCCGUGCUUGACACAGACUACCAGUGCAUUAUGGUAUGCUCUCAAAGAGUUGAGUUGUUUGGGAAUGCAGCUCUAAAUGGGUGGUAAAUUCCAUCUAAAGCUAAAUAUUGGCGAGAGACCGAUAGCGAACAAGUACCGUGAGGGAAAGAUGAAAAGAACUUUGGAAAGAGAGUUAAACAGUAUGUGAAAUUGUUGAAAGGGAAACGUUUGAAGUCAGUUGCAUUGAUGAGGGAUCAAGCUAGCAUUUUUUG